rnacentral:rRNA from 1 species
UAGCAUAUCAAUAAGCGGAGGAAAAGAAACUAACAAAGGAUUCCCCUAGUAACUGCGAGUGAAGCGGGAAAAGCUCAAAUUUGUAAUCUGGCGGCCUUCGGUCGUCCGAGUUGUAAUCUAGAGAAGUGCUUUCCGCGCUGGACCGUGUACAAGUCUCCUGGAACGGAGCGUCGUAGAGGGUGAGAAUCCCGUCUUUGACACGGACUACCAGUGCUCUGUGAUGCGCUCUCGAAGAGUCGAGUUGUUUGGGAAUGCAGCUCAAAAUGGGUGGUGAAUUCCAUCUAAAGCUAAAUAUUGGCGAGAGACCGAUAGCGAACAAGUACCGUGAGGGAAAGAUGAAAAGCACUUUGGAAAGAGAGUUAAACAGUACGUGAAAUUGUUGAAAGGGAAACGCUUGAAGUCAGUCGCGUCCGCCGAGACUCAGCCUCGCCUUCUGGCUUGGUGUACUUCUCGGUGGACGGGCCAGCAUCAAUUUUGACCGCCGGACAAGGGCGGGGGGAAGGUGGCACCCUUUCGGGGGUGUGUUAUAGCCCCUCGUCGCAUACGGCGGUUUGGAUUGAGGAACUCAGCACGCCUUUACGGUCGGGGUUCGCCCACGUUCGUGCUUAGGAUGCUGGCGUAAUGGCUUUAAGCGACCCGUCUUGAAACACGGACCAAGGAGUCUAACAUGCCCGCGAGUGUUCGGGUGGAAAACCCGUGCGCGUAAUGAAAGUGAAAGUUGGGACCCCUGUCGUGGGGGGCACCGACGCCCGGACCAGACCUUCUGUGACGGAUCUGCGGUAGAGCGUGUAUGUUGGGACCCGAAAGAUGGUGAACUAUGCCUGAAUAGGGUGAAGCCAGAGGAAACUCUGGUGGAGGCUCGUAGCGAUUCUGACGUGCAAAUCGAUCGUCAAAUUUGGGUAUAGGGGCGAAAGACUAAUCGAACCAUCUAGUAGCUGGUUCCUGCCGAU